AUGAACGCUAGCGGCAGGCUUAACACAUGCAAGUCGAGGGGCAGCAUAUCCAGCAAUGGGUGAUGGCGACCGGCGGAAGGGUGCGUAACGCGUGAGCAACAUACCUGUAUCAGGGGGAUAAUCCAGGGAAACUUGGUCUAAUACCCCAUAGCAAUUGGAGGGGGCAUCUUUUUCAAUUUAAAGCUUAGGUGGAUACGGAUUGGCUCGCGUGACAUUAGCUGGAUGGUAGGGUAACGGCCUACCAUGGCAACGAUGUCUAGGGGUUCUGAGAGGAAGAUCCCCCACACUGGAACUGAGACACGGUCCAGACUCCUACGGGAGGCAGCAGUGAGGAAUAUUGGACAAUGGAUGGAAAUCUGAUCCAGCCAUGCCGCGUGCAGGAAGACGGCCCUAUGGGUUGUAAACUGCUUUUAUACGGGAGCAAUAAGGUCUACGAGUAGGCCGAUGAGAGUACCGUAUGAAUAAGCACCGGCUAACUCCGU
rnacentral:rRNA from 1 species